AGGGUUGUAAACCUCUUUCGUCACAGACGAAGCGCAAGUGACGGUAUGUGCAGAAUAAGGACCGGCCAACUACGUGCCAGCAGCCGCGGUAAUACGUAGGGUCCGAGCGUUGUCCGGAAUUACUGGGCGUAAAGAGCUCGUANGUGGUUUGUCGCGUUGUUCGUGAAAACUCACAGCUCAACUGUGGGCGUGCGGGCGAUACGGGCAGACUAGAGUACUGCAUGGGAGACUGGAAUUCCUGGUGUAGCGGUGGAAUGCGCAGAUAUCAGGAGGAACACCGGUGGCGAAGGCGGAUCUCUGGGCAGUAACUGACGCUGAUGAACGAAAGCGUGGGGAGCGAACAGGAUUAGAUACCCUGGUAGUCCACGCCGUAAACGGUGGGUACUAGGUGUGGGUUUCCUUCCUUGGGAUCCGUGCCGUAUCUAACGCAUUAAG
rnacentral:rRNA from 1 species